rnacentral:tRNA from 1 species
UAUGGUCUAGUGGUUAGGAUUCGUGGUUUUCACCCACGCGGCCCGGGUUUGAUUCCCGGUA